rnacentral:misc_RNA from 1 species
GGCUUUGCAGGAUCAGUAUAACCUGCCAUAGAAAAUAAAUAGUGUUCAUAUGCAGAAGUCAAAAGGUAAACAUGCCAUUUAGAAUCUUGAAAUAAAAUUCAAUUGAAACUUGUUUCAAGUUCAAUUAACCAAAUGUUCAUAUUUAAACAUUUCAUGAUAAAGUUAGCAAAAAAACCAAUAAUGAGCGAGGUAUGCAUAUAGAAGAAAAACAAAGUCAAAUAAAAGCCAUAAAUUUUGUUAAAAUAUAACAAAUAGGAAACAAAACCCUAUAACAAGAGAGCAGAAGUUACCCAAUCAAAAGCUUUUAAAUUGAUUCCAAUUAUAACAAACCAGUUGAAUUUUAAAUCCAUUCCAUUUAUAGCAAGCAAGGUUAUGGUGUUUAAAAUUAUUUGUCAAUCAAAUAAUCAUGAAUCAAAACAAGAAAAGAUGCUUUAGAUACUGACCCAAUAAGAAUGGUAAAGGACUC